rnacentral:rRNA from 1 species
UACGUAGGGGGCAAGCGUUAUCCGGAUUUACUGGGUGUAAAGGGAGCGCAGACGGCAGUGCAAGUCUGGAGUGAAAGCCCGGGGCCCAACCCCGGAACUGCUCUGGAAACUGUGCGGCUAGAGUACUGGAGGGGCAGGCGGAAUUCCUAGUGUAGCGGUGAAAUGUGUAGAUAUUAGGAGGAACACCAGUGGCGAAGGCGGCCUGCUGGACAGUAACUGACGUUGAGGCUCGAAAGCGUGGGGAGCAAACAGG